rnacentral:tRNA from 1 species
GCGGGUGUAACUCAAUGGUAGAGUACCUGCCUUCCAAGCAGGUUACGUGGGUUCGAUUCCCAUCACCCGCU